rnacentral:tRNA from 1 species
GAUGAACCCUAAAAAGUUCUUUAGGCA